AAACACAAACAAGCUGAAGGUAGAUAAAUUUCACAAGAACUCAAUGAAGAAGUUUCUCCAAGUAGGGGUAGAGUGAGGCUCUCAGCGAUUAGCAGGCAGUGUCCUGACCAGACCUGAGGGGCUGGAUAAGAGCCAGAGGUUGAAAGAAAGCCCUAAUACUAGGAGCAGAUCGGGCACAGUUGGAGCAAGAAGGAGUGCUCCCCACCCAAGCCAAGCAUGGUAGCACAUACCUGUAGUCAUAGAACUUAGAAGAUAGACACAAGAAGAUACAGAAUUUGAGGUCUUCAUGAACUACCUAGUAAGUUCUAGACUAGUCUGGCCAAAAAAAGUGUCCCAGCCUCUCAACUUGCCCUGUGAUGCCCUGACACUGUCUCCACUUGGACAAACUCAACAUGAAGGCAAGGGUAUGUAUUCCACAGGGACCAGCAUCCACAUGGAGAACAGGGUCAAGCAUGGCCCUGGAGCAUCAUGCUCUCCCAGGUCACUCUAGCAUCACAGUGCAAAGAAGCAAUCGCCUGCCGUGGGAGGAGACCACUGAGGAAGACAACAGGAUUCAGCCUCAGUCUAGUGGCCACAUUUUACCUUGGAUCUCACAUUCCAGUAUGUCAGAGUGCUAGAGGGACCUGAAGCAACCACACUUCUCUUAUCAACUUUUUCCUGCCUACCAAAAGUGGCCCAUGAAGCUUCCACUAUUAGCCCCUUGGAAUCAGGACAUUGAAUGAAUUGAUAUUGGUUGAGCACCUAUGAUACCCAGUACCAAUCUACAGCACACCCAAUGUAGCUUGACAGUUAAAUACACCUGCUUGGAGAUUAAAA